GACGUAGGGGCCAGCGUUGUUCGGAAUUACUGGGUGUAAAGGGUUCGUAGGCGGUGCGGCAAGUCGGGAGUGAAAUCUCUGGGCUCAACCCAGAGACUGCUUCCGAAACUGCUGUGCUUGAGUGUGGGAGAGGCGCGUGGAAUUGCAGGUGUAGCGGUGAAAUGCGUAGAUAUCGUAAGGAAGACCAGUGGCGAAGGCGGGUCUCUGGACAGUUCCUGACGCUGAGGCACGAAGGUCAGGGGAGCAAACGGG
rnacentral:rRNA from 1 species